GAUGAACGCUAGCGGCAUGCCUAAGGUAUGCAAGUCGAGGGGCAGCACAUGAAGUAGCAAUACGGAUGGUGGCGACCGGCGCACGGGUGAGUAACGCGUAUGCAACCUGCCUACAACAGGGGAAUAACCCGUUGAAAGACGGACUAAUACCCCAUGACACAGGGAUCCCGCAUGGGAAUAUUUGUUAAAGAUUUAUCGGUUGUAGAUGGGCAUGCGUUCCAUUAGCUUGUUGGUGAGGUAACGGCUCACCAAGGCAACGAUGGAUAGGGGAACUGAGAGGUUUAUCCCCCACACUGGUACUGAGACACGGACCAGACUCCUACGGGAGGCAGCAGUGAGGAAUAUUGGUCAAUGGACGCAAGUCUGAACCAGCCACGUCGCGUGAAGGAAGACGGCCCUACGGGUUGUAAACUUCUUUUGUAAGGGAAUAAAGUGUAGUACGUGUACUAUUUUGCAUGUACCUUACGAAUAAGGAUCGGCUAACUCCGUGCCAGCAGCCGCGGU
rnacentral:rRNA from 1 species